rnacentral:rRNA from 1 species
UACAGAGGGUGCAAGCGUUGUUCGGAAUCAUUGGGCGUAAAGGGCGUGUAGGCGGUUUGUUAAGUCAGAUGUGAAAGCCCCGGGCUUAACCUGGGAACUGCGUUUGAAACUGGGGAGCUAGAGUGUAGAAGAGGGGGGUGGAAUUCCAGGUGUAGCAGUGAAAUGCGUAGAUAUCUGGAGGAACACCGAUGGCGAAGGCAGCCCCCUGGGCUAACACUGACGCUCAUGCACGAAAGCGUGGGGAGCAAACAGG